rnacentral:rRNA from 1 species
AUUGAACGCUGGCGGCAGGCCUAACACAUGCAAGUCGAACGAGUGGCGGACGGGUGAGAAAUGUCUGGGAAACUGCCUGAUGGAGGGGGAUAACUACAGGAAACGGUAGCUAAUACAGCAUACCAUCGGAUGUGCCCAGAUGGGAAUAGCUAGUAGGUGGGGUAAAGGCUAACCUAGGCGACGGUCCCUAGCUGGUCUGAGAGGCUGACCAGCCACACUGGAAAUGAGACACGGUCCAGACUCCUACGGGAGGCAGCAGUGGGGAAUAUUGCACAAUGGGCGCAAGCCUGAUGCAGCCAUGCCGCGUGUAUGAAGAAGGCCUUCGGGUUGUAAAGUACUUUCAGCGGGGAGGCGUUACCCGCAGAAGAAGCACCGGCUAACUCCGUGCCAGCCGCCGCGGUAAUUC